AGUUAAUUAGCUUAGCUCAAGCGUGUGUUUUGAAAACACAAGAUAGGAAUUGAACUUCCUAUUAACUU
rnacentral:tRNA from 1 species